UGCAAGUGAUGUCUUUUCUCACGAUGGUCUUCUGAGCUAUGUGGCUCUGAGGAUAACGCCUUAAGGCUGUGCUGAUGCAGUUUU